rnacentral:rRNA from 1 species
AGAGUUUGAUCCUGGCUCAGGACGAACGCUGGCGGCGUGCCUAACACAUGCAAGUCGAGCGGAGCUUAGUUUGCAGCGACUUUGGUCAAAGCGAGCUAAACUUAGCGGCAGACGGGUGAGUAACACGUAGGUAACCUGCCCAUCACACGGGCAUAGCCCUGGGAAACCGGGGGUAAUACCCGAUACCUUUACGAUAUGGUGUAUUGUAAAGAAAGCGAAUAAGCGGUGAUGGAUGGGCCUGCGGCCCAUUAGCUAGUUGGUGAGAUAACAGCUCACCAAGGCGACGAUGGGUAGCCGACCUGAGAGGGUGACCGGCCACACUGGGACUGAGACACGGCCCAGACUCCUACGGGAGGCAGCAGUGGGGGAUAUUGCGCAAUGGGCGGAAGCCUGACGCAGCGACGCCGCGUGGGGGAAGAAAGCCUUCGGGUUGUAAACCCCAGUCAUCAGGGAUGAAUAGGACAGUACCUGAAGAGGAAGCCCCGGCUAACUACGUGCCAGCAGCCGCGGUAAUACGUAGGGGGCGAGCGUUGUCCGGAAUUACUGGGCGUAAAGGGCGUGUAGGCGGGGGUGCAAGUUAUCGGUAAAAACCCGAGGCUCAACCACGGGCCUGCCGAUAAAACUGCAUCUCUUGAGUGCAGGAGAGGGGAAUGGAAUUCCCGGAGUAGCGGUGAAAUGCGUAGAUACCGGGAGGAACACCAGUGGCGAAGGCGGUUCCCUGGCCUGUAACUGACGCUGAGGCGCGAAAGCUGGGGUAGCGAACGGGAUUAGAUACCCCGGUAGUCCCAGCCGUAAACGAUGGUCACUAGGUGUGGGGGGUGUUCAAGCCUUCCGUGCCGGAGCUAACGCAAUAAGUGACCCGCCUGGGGAGUACGGCCGCAAGGUUGAAACUCAAAUGAAUUGACGG